AUAAAUAGUGAUUAACAAUAAGCUUUGCCCUUCAUUAAACAUAUAAACGUUUAAUACAAUAAGUAUUCCAAAAAGCUAUUACAUCAAAUGAGUGGCUUUGUGGGCAUACUUCAAACACGUACUACCAACCAAGUGAUGAAAGCAACUCACCAUUCAUUCCACCUACCAGAAUACGAGUGGUACAACUUGUACAUGUUAACUCUUAGCAUUCAUAAAUAAUCAAAAACCCUCAAGCUUGACAACUCAACUAGGAGAGCACUUAUGCCCAACAAGAGUUAUAGUCACCAACAAAGUCUUAUUGCAAGCCAACAACAACUUCAGUGCAUGGCAUAUGAAGAUCAAGCUAUUCAGCCCUUUUGCAUUUGCUUCAGACAUUUCCCCUCUGUAACAAUGCAAACACUACAACUCGUAGAAAGCUUCACACACUCUUGAUCAAGAUAGUGUAAAGCAAAAUCAAUUUAUGGUGCCGACAAGAGCUUCAUCAAACGAGUUCAACCACAAUUCUCAAAAGCUUCACACACUCUUGAUCAAGACAGUGUGAAGCAAAACCAAUUUAUGGUGCCAACAAGAUCUUCAUCAAACGAGUUCAACCAUAAUUCUCAACAGCUUCACACACUCUUGAUCAAGACAGUGUGAAGCAAAACCAAUUUAUGGUGCCAAUAAGAGCUUUAUCAAUGGAGGGCAACCACAAUUCUCAAAAGCUUCACACACUCUUGAUCAAGACAGUGUGAAGCAAAACUAAUUUAUGAUGCCAGCAAAAGCUUCAUCAAUGGAGGGCAACUACAAUUCUCAAACCUUCGAAGCAAAUUCAAGACUGUUCGAAGCAAAUUCAAUUUAUAUGGUUCAUCCAAACCUUCGACUACUACAAGGUGUGACUUACAUCACAAUCUCUUGCUCAACAGUGUGGAAGCAAAAUUUGUAUAUGUUGUCUCUCCCACAUUUUCGAAUUUCUAUUUUCCCAAAAAUAAAUAAAUAAAAUUGGGAAAUUCAACAAAGCUUCAUCAAUGGAGGACAACUACAAAUUCUCAAAAGCUUCACACUAUCUUGAUCAAGAUAGUGUGAAGCAAAAUCAAUUUGUGGUACCCAACAAAGCUUCACCACAAAAGCUUCACCAACAAAAGCUUCAUCAAUGGAGGACAACUACAAAUUCUCAAAAGCUUCACACUAUCUUGAUACUAUCCUGAUCAAGAUAGUGUGAAGCAAAAUCAAUUCAUGGUACCCAACAAAAUCUUCAACUCCAAAGCUUCACCAACAAAAGCUUCAUCAAUGGAGGACAAGUACAAAUUCUCAAAAGCUUCACACUAUCUUGAUCAAGAUAGUGUGAAGCAAAAUCAAUUCAUGGUACC
rnacentral:lncRNA from 1 species